rnacentral:misc_RNA from 1 species
UUUGUCAUAAAUAAAAUGUCAUUUCUUUACAAAACAAAGUGUGUUGGUCUGCGUCCAGUCGAUAGUUAUUUAGAAUAUUAAAGGUAUAAAUAAGUUAAAAACGAAUCAUGGCGUCUGGAGAACAUCGGGAGAUCCUUCAGUACGUGCCAUUUGCAUCCUUCGUGCACCCUUCCUUCUGGCAUACACUGACAAAGAUGAAACUUGAGGUGGACAAACUUGAUGAAAACACAAAGCAAAUAAACGGUAGAUUUUCGUUUCGCGAUGAUGUUGGCGCUAUUUUUGAGGUAGACGGGACCUCAUUUAACAAAACUCCUAACAACAUCAAGUUCUAUCGGAACGUAACGGGCACAUUAAUGAACAAGAACACUAUAGAAAACUUUAAGAAGAUUGACAAAGCAGCCCUUUUGAACUCAGUUGGAGAAAGUAUUUGGGCUAAAAUUAAGAGUAAGAGUUGGGUCAAAAACCCAUCACAGUUACUCAAUUUUAUCGUGCUAUCAUAUGCUGACUUGAAGAAAUACCACUAUUUCUACUGGUUUGCCUUCCCUUGCCCGAGCCAACCAAUAUUCUACUUGAAAGAGAGUGUGCACAUCACAAGUGUAUUCAACUACCACCACAUCAAUGCUAUUACAGAAGGGUGGAGAGAACUUAAGAGGUCACAGAAGUCGUUCUUUGCGUUCAGAAUGCGUGGUGACGAAGCAAUUGUUAUGACGUUGGAAGAGUGCUUUAAGUCUGGGGAAAUUUAUCCUCCUGUAACAUAUUUUGUGUUUGAGGAUCCAAAUGUUGAUCACAGCCCUGGAUGGCCGUUGAGACUCUUCCUAGCAGCACUAUAUGAUCAUUUCCCGACUAUAGUCAAUUAUGAAUUGAAAGUGCUUGGGCUGCGAUGCAACAUGCACGAAAUAGUGAACAGCAGUCAGAUCUUCACGCUCAUAGUACCACCAGAUAUAAAAUCAGCUGAGUCUGCUGGUUGGGUUGGUUGGGAGAGGAAUGACAAGGGUAACUUCGGCCCUAAACUCGCGAACAUGUCUUCUUCUAUGGACCCUAAGAGGUUAGCAGAUACAUCGGCAGAUCUGAACAUAAAGCUGAUGAAGUGGCGUCUAGUGCCGGACAUCGAUGUAGACGUGAUGAAAAACACCAGGUGUCUAAUGCUGGGCGCUGGGACCCUCGGGUGUCAUGUGGCUCGAGAUUUAUUAGCUUGGGGCUUCCGUCACUUUACGUUCAUAGACAGCGGUAAGGUGUCGUUCUCAAACCCGACGCGGCAAGUCUUGUUUAACUUCCAGGACUGCCUCGCCGGCGGCACGCACAAGGCGAUCGCUGCGGCUGAAAACCUUCGGCUUAUACUGCCCACUGUUGUUACCAAAGGCAUCCCGGCCCACAUUCCAAUGCCGGGCCACCCAGUAGGAGAAUCACUGAAGAAAGAGACGUUAGCCCACAUCACAGUUAUCACUCAUGCUAUUGAGAGACAUGACGUCAUCUUCCUACUACUGGACACCAGGGAGGCGAGAUGGCUGCCUGCACUUCUUGGAGCUUACUAUGGGAAGAUAGUGAUAAACGCAGCCCUCGGCUUCGACAGUUACCUAGUGAUGAGGCACGGGCUCGGUUCAUUACCACAAGACACUUCGCAAGCCGCGCCGUUUCCACAAGACACAUCGCAAACCGCGCCAUUACUACAAGACACUUCGCAAGCCGCGCUGUUACCACAAGACACUUCGCAAGCCGCGCCGUUACCACAAGACACAUCACAAGCCCCGCCGUUACCACAAGACACUUCGCAAGCCGGGCCGUUACCACAAGACACAUCGCAAGCCCCGCCGUUACCACAAGACACUUCGCAAGCCGCGCCGUUACCACAAGACACUUUGCAAGCCGCGUCGUUACCACAAGACCCUUCGCAAGCCGCGCCGUUAACACAAGACCCUUCGCAAGCCGCGCCGUUACCACAAGACCCUUCGCAAGCCGCGCCGUUACCACAAAACCCUUCGCAAGCCGCGCCGUUACCACAAGAUACAUCGCAAGCCGCGCCGUUACCACAAGACACGUCGACAGCCGCGCCUCUAGUGGGCAACUCUGUACCGAGCAUCGUGCCCGGCUCACAGCUGGGGUGCUACUUUUGCAACGACGUCACUGCUCCCGGCAAUUCCCUGAAAGACCGCACGUUAGAUCAGCAGUGUACGGUUACCAGGCCUGGAGUAGCGGCCAUCGCGGGAGCUCUUGCAGUCGAGUUACUAGUCGGACUACUGCAACACCCGCUAAAAGCGGACGCCCCUGCGAUAUGCAAACUAGCAGACGACGACAGUGCUCAAGACACCGAAGGAGUCUUAGGCCCUAUCCCGCAUUCCAUCCGCGGCUUCCUACAUUCGUAUACAACUGUUUUACCGACGUGCACAAAGUUCAAACACUGCAUCGCGUGUUCUGAUAUAGUCCUACAGAAGUAUAAGGAAGAAGGAGUCGAAUUCCUACUGAAGGUGUUCAAUAGUGGAACCUAUCUGGAGGAGAUAACAGGGCUGGCUGAGCUGCAGUUGGCGGCUGAACUGACUGAUAUUGUAACACUGUCUGAUGAAGACGAAGAUGCCAACGCCGAUGAGAACACGUAAAUAAACAAUUUGAUUGAUACGCUGUAAAUCCAAUGCAACAUAUUACUAUCCAAUCAAAUAGUCCCGUGUCUCACAGAUAUAAUAAAUAAAUAUCAACUGAUUGUGUGACUACUUCACACUGAUUGUUAAUGUAGUAUAAUUGUGGUCAGUCAUUUGACACAAAUCUGCCAAAAAUCAAAAUUAAACUCUUUUUAUAACGUAAUCAGGGACUUUCCUAUCGACGUUCCCCAAACACACGAUAGAUGGCGUUGUUCACUUUUAACGUGAAAGUUACCUAUUUUUUAAUUGCUGUGGUACAUAAUCAUUCAAAAAUGCAAUGUAAUGGCAGAAGCAUAUAUAAAACUAAUUGUUACUUGAUAUUUGGAUCACAUUAUGUAUAGAAUGAUGUGGUUACCUAUAUUGCUUCUCUUUAUUUUGAUCAGAAUAAUAAUGGGUGUAAGUUGUAAUUGUACCUUGGUGUAAUAAAAAGGGUCAUCAUUUAUACCCAAAAACAAAGAUAAAAAUUGCGUAUUCUGUCUGUUAUCAAUGAAUUUAGAAGUCUAAACGAAGAAAACACUUAUCAACGCCAUCUGUCGUGUAUUUUGGGAACGCAGAUUGGAAAGUCCCCCAUUGAAUUUACAUUUUUGUAAUAAUUGGGUAGGUAUUUAAAAAUAUAAAGAAAAUACUUUAGUUAUUUUAAUGCAAUGGUUUAUUCAAGUAUUAAAAACUUAACUAAGUAGGUACAUAAAUCUAUAACAGUGAUUUGAGUUUACAUUUUAAAAAUUAAUUACAAACUAAAAUUCGACAGAGUUUAUUCUAUAAAAUCAUAUUAACCAGAUAAAAAAUAUUUAUUGCUUUACGUUUACGCUUUACAACUCAUUACAACAAAAGAUGCAUUUAUGUUUCUUGUCUUCGAAAUUUGAAGUUUAAACUAAGAAAAAACUUAACGCCAUCUAUCGUGUUUUUGGGGAACGCCGUUUGGAAAUUCCCUCGUUAUCAAGGAUAAACUUGUAGAAAGUUGAUUUUACAUCAUUUGUUACUUUUCUAAACUUGAUCUUUGACAAGGUAAUCUUUAAUAACACAUAAGUAAUAGCGUUUCAAGUGCCAUGAUCACAGGAUGGGGUCAUUCCGUGAUUAUGUGUUUUAGUUAUGAUGAUAGCCGCGUAAACCUCAAACAAUAUCUUCUUCUUUGCGAGUCGAUGGCGAUUACAUUAAAAAAAUAAUUUAAUAUUGAUUUUUGAGAGAUCUCAGUUGUCGAUUUACAGAAUAGGCCUGCUGGUUGCAAUAUGGCAAUGUCCUAAUUGUCUUUGCAACCAGGUCAGACCAAAAAGGCAACAAUAUAGAAAAGGCAUAAUUGUCAAUUCACUGCACUGACCAUGAUUUUUUUUAUUAAAUUUGCCCCGAGACGGAUCAGGCAAAAAAACAUAGCCAUACAGCCUGGUCAGAAAUUUUACUUCAUGUAAUUUCCUGAAGGCCUAAGCCAUUUCUUAUCUUCUAGUCUUUGUCUUCAAGGCCGAAGCUGACCAUAAUUAUUUCGGCUAGUCAAGAAAGCUUGCUGUCGGAUGUUCAUAGGACUGUCAAUUUCUUAUCAAGAACGGUUAGACUAGUAUAAUUUCUUUACUAUAAGUUUUUUAUCAUGUGGGACAGAAUAAAUAUAUUAUAUACGAAAGGACUGUACCGCCGAGAAAAAUCGUUAGUGUGAAGGCGUCCUUACAACAAGUUUAUUAUGUUCAUUUCCUUGUUAAUUACUCGUCGCAUUUUAAUUCAGAUUAUAUUUUAUUAGCCUUAUUUAAUCUUUAGUGAAGCCACAAAACCUUUUUUAAGACUUGUUAAUAAUAUUAAUAUAGGCAGGUGUAGACGCAGCAUUAUACAAUGUAAUAACAAUUUAAUGUCAGAAAUAUAAUAUAAACUGCAGCUAUUUAUACUUGUAUGUGAUAAUAUAUUAUAAUGAGUGUGCUAAUUAAAACUUUAGUAGUUAUUAUAUAUAUAGGGUAUUAAUGACAUCGUAACAAAUACUGAGGGGGAUGAUUCAGAUCAGUGGCAGAUGUACAAAUUUGCCGCCAGUAAACUCUGAAAUUCGAUAGCAAGUUUAGUUCACCAUCUUAUUAAUUACAUUUAUUCUGUCAAUGAAAAUGCAACUUCAUGAUUUGUGUUGUAUAGUCGUCAUUACAUCGGCUUUUUCCCGUUAUUAGUAUGAUUGUGAACUAGGGGAUAGUUGUGUCUGUUUCUAGAUUAUUUUUACAGCCGACGAUUUAGUGAAGUGUUAGUGUGUGUGUGUGUGUGUUUAGUGUAGUCGUUACAUGAGCCAUGUCACGGGCCUUUGGCGGCUCAAUAAUAACCCUGACACCAGGGUGAUGAGGUUGGUAAUUCACCUCACAACCAGGGAUGUUAUGGAUGUGAAAUUUCGGAUACGUAUUGGAUACGGAUAUAAGAAUGAUUAUUAUACCGGAUACGGUUACAGGUACGGAUAAUAAAUUAUUUCGGAUUAUCCGUUGUUUCGGAUAAUUUCCAUUACGGAUAUUAUUUUUUAAGGAAUUUCAAAAGUAAAAUAGAAAUAGGUACCUAAUAAAGUGGUUUUAUUUAUAACGACAAGUUAUAUAAUAUAUGUUAUGAGGACAAAGGAAGACAAAACAAACAAUGCGCGCAGCUUGUGUGUCGUCAUAACAUGUCUCAAUUGGGCUCCGCCCCUAUCCGAUAUUAUCCGAAACUUUUAUUUCGGAUUCGGUUACGGUUACGGAUGUUUUUUUAUAUCGGAUGUCCGAUAGUUUCGGUUUCGGAGCUCCCUAACAUCCCUGCUCACAACCCACACGUUAGAAGAAGAGUGAAGUGUAUAUUGUUGAGCUAAAAACAGCAGCAUAUGAGGUAAGGUAACGUUCGCCGCGGCCAUGAGCGAGCUCCUCGCUGUCGGCUCGCUGGUUGGAUCCACACUGGAGGUUGCUGGAGCAGCUCUUGUGUUUCGCAGUUCGCCCAUCUUCACUGGGGAAGAAGGGCUGUUUGCCGGGUGGUCUCCCCCGCAGUUGCAACACGUGGCCGGUACCUCCCGGGGGCGCGGGCAGUCCUUCGCUGCGUGGCUUUCGCCACAGCGAACGCAGGCCGCCGGGCGGUGGCAGUUGUGGCUGUUGUGCCGAAACUGCUGGCAGCGGUGGCAUUGAGGAGCUCCUUUGCGUCCCCUCCAUGCUUCGAUUUUGACACCUGCAGAGGAGGCAUGCAGAGGAGCUCGGUGGUGUUAUAUAUUGCCUGGAAGCCCAGGGUCCGCCGGAUCUCCACAAAGAAGACGCAGCCCACUCUGCCCUGGAUGGGACGGAUGUACUGGGGGUCGAAGCCGCGGUUACGCAGCUCCUCCUCCAGUUCGGCGACGUUGGUAUCCGCCUUUGAUGGCCAGCUUCAAGGCGCGUUCCGCCGGGGGGGCGUAGGCGAACCAGGAGAGUUCCGUCGCUUUUUCCAAGCCGGCAAGGUAGCGCUGGUAAAGCCGGCACUCUUCGUUUGUCUUCGCCAUAAAGCGUACGGCCUUCCCAUACGGGCGCGCGUUGGGGACAUGGCCGGGCACCUCCCGCAAUUUGCGGCAGUGGUGCUGCCAUUCGGGCAGUUGAUCCACCACAAUGGGCGGUAUAUUCUUGCUCGCCGGGGCGAGCGGCGGCUGGGGUCGGACGGGCUUCGGCGAUGGUGUGGGCGUCGUCCGGGGGGACUGACGCGGAGGCGCAUGCGGCGGCGAGUCGGGAUCGUAUUCAACACUACCGCGUAUGAUCGCGGCGGUGUUGUCUCCAUGUCCAACAGGGGCAUGGAGAGAGGCGAGAACGGGUUCGUGCUGCUUAACACCGCCGACGGGGUGUAGUCUCCAUGUCCAGUGAGGGCAUGGAGAGUGCGGUUGGCGGCGUGAUCUUCGCGCCGGGUUGCGUUGGUGGCCGCUCUGGCGGCGUCGUAGCCCUCUUUUCUGCGGCUCCUGUUCCCAAAAGUCGGGGCCGUGCUUGCCCUGUUAUGGCCUGGGCGCGAUGUUCCUGUCCUCUUGUGCGAAGCCCAGCGGUCCGCCUGGCAGAGCACACGCUAUCACUCCCUCCCCGGUGAGACCCGCUGGUGGGAGGCCGGGGGUGGGUAGGAAUGAUAGUGGUGGUACCGUUUGGAUCCGCGGAGAAUCAGGAGGGUAUUUUUAGACAAAAAUGUAAAUUUCCUGUAAAAUCAUGAAAAAGCGAUAAGCUUCUGUACACAUUUCAGCAGCCGCAGUUGCCACUAAAUUCGAAGGAUGGGCAGAACAAGCCACGUAAAAUACAAAAAGUGCUUGGUUUCGAAUUUUUGCCUGCAAGCCAUUGUGCAUGCCAGACAUGUUCGCGACAUUAUCAUAUGACUGUCCACGACAGUCUUCAAUAUUUAUUUUAUGCCCAAUGUUUCGAUUUCCGAAAUGGUGACAGAAAACAUUUCUGCCGCUUUAUGUCCCACUGACGGCAAAAACUUGAGAAAUCUUUCACACGGUUCGCCUGAUUCUAAAACGUAUCUAAUGACAACGGUAAGCUGAUCUACGUGUGCUAUACUGUUGAAUUGACGAUUAGAGAAAAAUAUUUCGCCCUUCUAAUCUCGUCUCCAAUCUGUUUUAAGACUUUAUGACCCAUCAAAAGAAUAAACUCGUGGCAAACGGUCUUUGAUAAGUAAUUGGUUCUGCCUGAUCCUUGAUUCCCGAAUCAUUCAAUGUGACUGGCUAAAAAAGAAUCGAAUUCCGCGAACAGUUUCAAAAUCAUACAAUAAUUCCCGUUAUGUGGAUCACCAAAUUUUUCUUUUUCCCUCUGAACGCCUCUUGAACACAGUACGCAAAAACAUACCUACGUAGGUACCUAGUAGAAAAUAAAUAUUUGAACGUUUAGUACAUAGUAAGUAGUAGGACGUAAGAAUACUGUGCAUUACUAAAAUAUUAAAAUUUUGUCACUUGUUUCUUUGUGUACAUAAUAAUGAUUUUUUUUUAUUUCUCUAAAACAAAAACAUUUUGGGGCCAAAUUUGCCGCCCCCUAAAAGUUGCCUCCCUAGGCCCCAGCCUGCUGGUAAAUCCGCCACUGAUUCAGACCAUGGUUCCGAGUUAAUAUUAAGUGGAAUUUUCCGUUGCAAAAUUCAUGAUUUUUUAAUAUUCUUUUGCGAUGGAAAAUUCCACUUGACAUUAACUCAAAAUAAUGAGCUGAAACACCCCCCUCAGUAUUCGUUACCAUGUCACUUACACCCUGUAUAUUUAAGAAUGACGAUGUAUAGGUAGUUAAUUUUUUUAUCUGUGUCGAAUAAUUUAUAAUAAUCUCUAUAUAUUGUUCUCUACAUGAUGUCGUCAAACGAUAAAAUGUAUGUCUAUAAAUGAAAUAAAAGUACAGUGAAAAUUAU